rnacentral:rRNA from 1 species
UCAGAACGAACGCUGGCGGCGCGUUUAAGCAUGCAAGUCGAGCGGCAAGGGCCUUCGGGCCCCUAGAGCGGCGGACGGGUGAGUAACACGUGGACAAUCUGCCCCCCGGCCCCGGGAUAGCCCAGGGAAACCUGGAUUAAUACCGGAUGAGACGGGACCUGCGAUGGCGGGAUCCGGGAAAGCGCUACGACGCCGCCGGGGGAUGAGUCUGCGUCCCAUUAGCUAGACGGCGGGGUAACGGCCCACCGUGGCGACGAUGGGUAGCCGGCCUGAGAGGGUGGACGGCCACAUUGGAACUGAGACACGGUCCAGACUCCUACGGGAGGCAGCAGCUAAGAAUCUUCCGCAAUGGGCGAAAGCCUGACGGAGCCGACGCCGCGUGAACGAAGAAGGCCGUGAGGUUGUAAAGUUCUUUUCGGGAGGGGGAACAACCGUGGCAGGGAAUGGCCGCGGGAUGACGUGAAUCCCGGAAUAAGCCCCGGCUAACUACGUGCCAGCCGCGGC